rnacentral:rRNA from 1 species
UACGAAGGGGGCUAGCGUUGUUCGGAAUUACUGGGCGUAAAGCGUGCGCAGGCGGCUGCUCAAGUCAGGGGUGAAAGCCCAGAGCUCAACUCUGGAAUUGCCUUUGAGACUGAGUGGCUGGAGUGCGGCAGAGGAGACUGGAAUUCCUGGUGUAGCAGUGAAAUGCGUAGAUAUCGGGAGGAACACCUGUGGCGAAAGCGGCUCACUGGACCACAACUGACGCUGAGGCGCGAAAGCUAGGGGAGCAAACAGG